rnacentral:rRNA from 1 species
ACUGGCAGUUAUAGCGCAGAGGGUACACCUGUUCCCAUUCCGAACACAGCAGUUAAGCUCUGUAGCGCCGAUGGUACUUAAGAAUAGACUUUGGGAGAGUAGGACGCUGCCAGUU